AUCUGUCAUGAACUUUAUUCUAGUUUCAGCAGAGACGUUUCCUUCAUAUCGAAUUUGAUAAGAGACAACACUUAAAUGAAAAAUACAUAAUUACCGCCAUGUAGAAGUUUGAAACACCAAGGUCCUACCUUCCAUAUCCAGCUUCAUACAGGAACUGCGGCACUUGGGUGGUUUUUCCACUUCCAGUUUCACCACAUAAAACCACAACUGGGUUUUCGUGAAUGGCUUCCAUAAUGACUUGUUCUUCACCCAGGAUUGGAAGUUUUAACCUGGCCUCCUGCAUGAAAUAAUAAGUGUUGAGGAGCAGAAGUUCUGUAAUAAAUGUACAAUAGCCGUUUCAUAUUAAAAUUGCAUGCUAAAAUCUCUAUGCCUUUGUAAACAUUAAGGAGUGAACUCAUAAAAAUAGCUGAAAGCUUAAUCUCUUAUAUAAAGAUGGUAUUAAGUCUGCUUGCAGGGACCACCAAUCACUAAAUAAAAUAACUUUUUUCAGUCUCAA